GAUGAACGCUGGCGGCGUGCUUAACACAUGCAAGUCGAACGAAGAUGCCGGAGUGCUUGCACUUUGGCAGACUGAGUGGCGGACGGGUGAGUAACGCGUGGGUAACCUGCCUUAUACAGGGGGAUAACAGUUGGAAACGACUGCUAAUACCGCAUAAGCGCACGGUAUCGCAUGAUACAGUGUGAAAAACUCCGGUGGUAUAAGAUGGACCCGCGUCUGAUUAGCUUGUUGGUGAGGUAACGGCCCACCAAGGCGACGAUCAGUAGCCGGCCUGAGAGGGCGACCGGCCACAUUGGGACUGAGACACGGCCCAAACUCCUACGGGAGGCAGCAGUGGGGAAUAUUGCACAAUGGGGGAAACCCUGAUGCAGCGACGCCGCGUGAAGGAAGAAGUAUUUCGGUAUGUAAACUUCUAUCAGCAGGGAAGAAAAUGACGGUACCUGACUAAGAAGCCCCGGCUAACUACGUG
rnacentral:rRNA from 1 species